GGGAGUAUAGCUUAGUUGGUAGAGUAUAGCUUUUGCAAAGCUAUGGUCCGGAGUUCAAAUCUCCGUGCUUCCA
rnacentral:tRNA from 1 species